UUAGUGGUGGUGUUAGUACACUCUGACGAGAGAGUGAAUACCAACGAAAAGGAUUCAAGACACAUUCUCGGUUGAUUUUCCAGAAGGCCGUAACAGCAAGUGACAGUUUCUCUUUGUUCACUCUCUCUUUCGAUUAUUGUGAUGUGAUCUAAAAAGAUUUUCUUGGAUUUCACAGUUCUGUUUGGAAGUCGAACGUUUCGAGCAUCAUUCUAUGCGAAGAGUUGAGUGAUAAACGUGUAAACCGCUUGGUAAUUAAUAGAAGAGAAAGUAAACAAAGAGAAACUGUCACUUGCUGUUACGGCCUUCUGGAAAAUCAACCGAGAAUUGUUCGUUGAGUGUCUUCCUUUCGUCUUUAUGACGUUGCGCAAUCUUCGACGCCCAUCCUUUACCGCGAUCAAAUACACAAGAGAAUCCGAGAAGGAUCCCAAAGUGCAACUAAAAAAGCAGUUGAUCUCCACCAGAGGCAGACAAAACAGGAACCAAAAAAGGAUCAAAAAAAAAUUCGAGAUUUAAUUUUACACUGCUUCUUGAUGGGAAAAAAUACCGUUCAAGCGAAGCAAUCAAUGGCUUGAAAAGUGUUAUGGAGACUCCGCUCCAUCAGAAACAACAGUAAUACGUUGGUUUGCUGACUUCAAACGUGAUUGUAAAGACACCGAUGAUGCAGAACGCAGUAGUCGUCCAAAUGAGGCGAUAACACCAGCAAACAUACAAAAAAUCCACAAAAUCGUUUUUAAUGAUCGGAAAGUGAAGUUGCGUGAGUUAGCUGACAUCGUAAAGCUAUCAAAAGAACGUGUUGGCUAUAUAUUGCAUGUGCAUUUGACUAUGAGAAAGCUCUGUUCAAAGUGCCGCAUUUGCUCAAUGUUGACCAAAAACGAGAAUGUGUUGAUAAUUCUGAGCAGUGUUUUGGCCAUGUUUAAACGUAGCAAGCCGGAAUUUUCAGCGUCGAUAUGUGACAAUGGAUGAAACAUGGAUUCAUCGCUUCACUUCGGAAUCAAAACGAUCGUCGUCCGAGUGGACAGCAACUGGUGAACCUCGUCCAAAGCGAAAGCAUAACAAUCAGCUGGAAAGCUUAUGGCCUCGGUAUUUUGGGAUGUACGUGGUGUAAUAUUUAUCGACUGUCUUGAGAAAGAAAACACCAUCAACAGUGAAUAUAAUAUAGCGCUAUUGAAGCGUUUGAAGGCUGAAAUUGCAAAGAAACGACCGCAUAUGGCCAAAAAAGAGUUGUUUUAUUAAGACAACGCACCGUGUCACAAGUCAAUCAAAACAAUGGCAAAAUUACAUGGAUUGAACUUCAAAUUGCUCCCGCAUCCACCGUAUUCGCAAUAUUUGGCUCCCAGCGACUACUGGCUGUUCGCAGACCUGAAAAAAAUGCUCGCCGAUAAGAAAUUUCGCACGAAUGAAGGCAUUAUCGCUGGAAAUGAGGCCUAUAAGCGAAAGAUAAGCCGUUCUAAAAGUAAUUUUGAGCCAAGCCAAUUGCUUAAGAUAGAUUCUAAUAUAACUCUCAAACAUAACGUGGAAAAUAACUAAACGUGGUGAGAAGAAAAUGACAGGUACACGUAAGUAUGAUUAACUGUUAAAACAAUCUUAUUCCAAUUGAAAUUAUUUGAUAA